ensembl:lncRNA
ACGAGCCAGCGCCGCCUCCCGGUAUAUCACACAAAACACAUGGAACUGUGGCUCUGGAUGCAGCAGAGUCUGUCACUGGAGUGAAGUCCUCAUCUUUGGAAAUACUGCUUCCCUGGGCACUGGAGUGAAGUCCUCAUCUUUGGAAAUACUGCUUCCCUGGGCACUGUAGUAAAGUCCUCAUCUUCGGAAAUACUGCUUCCCUGAGCACUGUAGUGAAGUCCUCAUCUUUGGAAAUACUGCUUCCCUGGGCACUGGAGUGAAGUCCUCAUCUUUGGAAAUACUGCUUCCCUGAACACUAUAGUGAAGUCCUCAUCUUUGGAAAUACUGCUUCCCUGAGAGAUUUUUUUAAUCAUAAUAAUAAUUAAUAAUUGAAUAGUAAGGGGAAAGCAUUUGGAAAAAUGUCCAUGGAGAGUGAAAUAUUUUAUUUUUCACUUGCCAAUUUCUCACUGUGGCAAAACACCGAAACACACCUACAGUAAACAAUUUGAGUUCUGUGACCACCCCAACAACCAAAACCACUGUUGACACAUGCAUGCCUUCCAAACAUCAAAUUACAAAAACAAAAACACCCACUGAUGUCUGGCCAGAGUAGAAUCAUUUCCAGCUCGGCUCAGAUGUGCUGUUUGACAUUUGUUCCGGUGAUAUAAAAGGUCACAGAGAGAUGUGUGGUGUGAGAUAGAAGGGAGAGAGAAAGGGAAGAGGACAGAGGAGACAAAAGAUGUGGCUGAGCGAGUCCAGCAGAUGGCUGUCAGUCGGCCAGCCUGUACACGUCACACAGCAUCACACCACGGACCCGCAGGCCUGGUCAAGACUUUCUACGGCAAAGAGAAAGAGGAAGUGGAAGGGUUCUCCCUCACACACCAUGAGGUAGCAGGUAGACCACUGGCAGGAAGGGGAGUGGAGAGUGUUUGGAAACGGUGCCAAGAUCCACUGGCGUUGAUAUACUACAUCGUAAUGCUUUACUAGUGGUCUGAGGUGAAAACAAUGUCAUGCCUAGAUGAGGGUGGACUAUGGUGUUUGACUAUGGUGCUCAUUAAGCCACUACUUUCUUUUCAAGGUCUAGGCCAAGUUACUUAAGAAAUAUUUUUCUGUGAAAUGGGCAAUAAUCAUACAACUGAAUUUACUGAGAAAAAAGUGGUUAGUGGUUCUUGAUCACUACCUUGAGCUAUUUGCUAACGAGUGCAUGCAUGCUGGUCACGUGUACUACAAGGUAAAACACGGUAAAAGAGGACAGCAUGAUAGACCCAUGGAGACAUCAGCUAGUCAAUUAACUUGCUGUGCAUGCAGUACACCUGCAUGCCUUCUAACACUGUAUCUAAGUUGAGGAGAAAUUGUCUACAGGGUAGAUGUGUUAUAACUUUUUGAAGCCUGUUUCAGCACUGCAAUGUGGCUCAUGGUGAAUGAUGUGGGGAUGAGAAGAGAGGUAAACAGGUUUACACUUCAACGUGAAGAAAUCCCCUUCAGUUCUCAACCUGUGCGUUGGCAAUGGGGGGAUACGAACAUGCGAAUAGCCAAGAGACUGGCGAGAUCUCAAAGUGAAAGGUUGUGAAUUAGUGUUCAUCGCACGUUUGGGCGCGUUCACACACGCACCGUCUAAUUUUAACGGUGUUACCGCGCUUGUAGAAUGCGAUGUGUUAGAAAAGUUUGACUUUGCUGGAACAAAAGGAAAGAAGACAGAACAAAGUUUAGCAGCAUCUGUAUAUUCCAAGUACAACACUAUAGAAUUGAUAUGGAAUAUAUAAGCAAAUGUGAGCUGUGAGAAGAUCCCUGAGGCAAAAUAUUACACCUCGAGAUGCCUUUGUUGACAGCUCUAAUAUCUCUCCUUUCACUUUCACAUGAUAUAGCUAUGGCUGCUUUCUAAAGAAGUCACAGGAGAAGACCUACAAAGACGUAACAUUAAUGUCCAAUCAAUGUCCAUGGGUGGCAAAACCGGGUUGUUCGAGCCCUGAAUGCUGAUUGGCUGAAACCCGUGUUAUAAUCAGACCAUAUACCACGGGCAUGACAUUUUUUUUUACUGUUCUAAUUACAUUGGUAACCAGUUUUUAAUAGCCAUAAGGCACCUCAGGGGUUUGUGGUAAACGGCCAAUAUACCACGGCUAACGGCUGUAUUCAGGCACUCCGCAUUGCGUUGCGCAUAAGAACACCCUUUAGCAGUGGUAUACUGUACAGGCCUUAUACCACACCUCCUCAGGCCUUGCUGCUUAAUUAUAUACUGUCGAUACACACCACGUAUUUACAAUUUAAUUUCUUGUUUAGAUUAUUUGUGUAUUGUAUUUGCUAAACAUCCCACUGAGCAAAAACGAAGUAAUUUCAAUUCAAAAAUCCAAUGUGAUGAAGUUGAAACAACGUGGAAAAUUGAUUGGAUUAUUCAAAAAGUCAUCAACGUAAGGGAAUUUGGUCUUUUUUUCAGCCAACUUUCAACUUAAAACCAAUGACAGGGAGACAUUUUUUGUUGACUUCCCGUUUAAUUCACAUUAGUUGGCAACUCAACCAAUUGUAAAUCAAAACUAGACGUUGAACUGAUAUCUGUGCCCAGUGGGAUUCUGAUGCACUUUUGGAGCUAGUAACAUAAGCAUUUCAAUGUACCUGCUAUAACACCUGCAAAUCUGCUUACGCAACCAAUAAACUUAUCAACAAUCAACUCCUUUUCAACAAAGAGACUAAUACCACACAAGUAAUAUAAACUCUUAAAUUCAAACUUCAGACUUAUUGGUUUGGGCUUUGGUCCCUGACAUUGCCAGUGCUCUAGAAGCUCGUGGUACAUUAAACCUACAACACUUUGAUUUAGUGCUAAGUGUCUUCACCUCCGAGAAAUGUGCAGUUGUUUAAUGUGAAGCUUCACAGAAGGUGUAUAUGAGAUGGUAAUUUCCAAGAGGAGAGAUGCUGAGAGAGAUAAGGAAAAACAAAUAUCUGGACAUUAAAUUGGCUUGUGUCACUGCCUUUGACCACCUAGAGCCAGAGCAUCAAAGCUGGUGGUGUGAGGGGAGUAGGUAGAAAUGGGCUCUUCUUGGUUAAAAGCUGGUUCCUGUCCGAGACGCCACAUUGGAUGAUGUCAUCGAUCCGAUGCUAACGGAGUGUGGGCAUCUGCGAGUGGUCCCGUCAUCAGCCAAAGCCCCUCUUCCCCGAAGGGGGCCUCCAUUUUGUAAUCUUGUAGAGUAAACAGUGGAGGAGGUGAGAGAGAAGGGGCAUUUGGGACAGACACCUACCACCUACGAGUCUGUCACCAGGGGUUACGAAGAGCACUCGGGCCCUAGAUGCCGGAGCAGCAACUCAAUGAAAAACAAAGAUGGGUCAGUGAGCUCAGUGAGUUCUGUCAAUGCACACAACGUCAUGUUUGGUUGGCGAAACACAUGAUCAAAGUCUCAAAAACAAAUACAUAAAAAACAACGGAGCAGGUCUUCAAAGCAUGUCAACCCCCUUGAAAAUGUCAAACCCAACAGGACUUUAGCGGUCUGACUUCUAAGGAAGUGCGUGAGCAAUGUUAAUUCCCUCCUGAAGUGUGAGCUGCCACAUUAAAUUCUUACGGAGUGUGUGUUCAUUCAUUUGCAUUUCAUAAAAG